rnacentral:tRNA from 1 species
GCGCCUGUGGCGGAAUUGGUAGACGCGCAAGGUUGAGGGCCUUGUCCUGCAUUUGCGGGGUGGGAGUUCGAGUCUCCCUGGGCGCA